GAAAUGUGAACACGUCACACGACUGCUGUGGUCAAAGCUACAGGAGCUGUUUGAGGUUGGUGUAAAAGGAAGGAAGCACAGAGAGGUGAUAGAAGGAGGAGCUGAAUAUAAACUCUGGUCUUAUCUACAUUAAGUGCAGCUUCUCUUUGUUCUGCAUUUAUUAUCAAUGCAAAGUCGAACACUUUGAGAUUAGAUGCAGAUCAGCGUGCAGGGCUGGACGUGAGGAUGGGGCACUCUUUGCUCUGUUUGCUGGGGUUAUUCUUGCUCAGUACAGUCAAACAUGGAAACACUGAAGAACUUGGAGUGAAGCCCACUCUGACAGCAGACAGAUUAACCAUACCAGCAGGGGGCAGUGUGACACUGACCUGUGAUGUAAAACACUCUGCUGACUUUGAAUAUGACUGGUUAAGAGAACCCCGUUUCAACUCUGAGAAGACCAGAGUAACUGGUGAAUCAAAGAGAGAACUGGUGACCUCUGAAGCCGGCAUCUACACCUGCAGAGGACGUAUAAAA